CAGUAGCCGCGGGAACACGGAGGAUCCAAGCGUUAUCCGGAAUCAUUGGGUUUAAAGGGUCCGUAGGCGGUCUUGUAAGUCAGUGGUGAAAGCCCAUCGCUCAACGGUGGAACGGCCAUUGAUACUGCAGGACUUGAAUUAUUGGGAAGUAACUAGAAUAUGUAGUGUAGCGGUGAAAUGCUUAGAGAUUACAUGGAAUACCAAUUGCGAAGGCAGGUUACUACCAAUUGAUUGACGCUGAUGGACGAAAGCGUGGGUAGCGAACAGGAUUAGAUACCCGUGUAGUCCCUGUCUCUUAUCA
rnacentral:rRNA from 1 species